UUUUAGGUCGAUCUGCUCCAUGAAAUAAAUUUAAAUAGCUGCAGUAUAUUGACUGUACAAAGGUAGCAUAAUAAAUUGUCUUUUAAUUGAAGAAUUGAAUGAAUGAAUUGAUGAAAUAACAAACUGUCUCUAUUUUAUUAAAUGAAUUUAAAUUUUUAGUAAAAAUUCUGAAAUUUAAUUAUGGGACGAUAAGACCCUAUAGAAUUUUAUUUAAAUAAUUAUUUAUUUAAAUUAUUUUUGAAUAUAUAAUUAAUUUAAAUUUGAUUGGGAGGAUUGGUAAAUAAAAAUAACUUUAUCUAAAAAUUAAUUUUGAUGAAAAGAUUUAUUUUUGACUUAUAAUUUAUGAUUAAAAGAAUAAAUUACCUUAGGGAUAACAGCGUUAAUAUCUUUUGAUAGACCACAUUGAUAAAGAUGUUUGCGACCUCGAUGUUGAAUUAAGAGAAAAGUUAAACGCAGGAGUUUAAAAUUUUAAGUCUGUUCGACUUUUAAAAUCUUACAUGAUUUGAGUUCAA
rnacentral:rRNA from 1 species